rnacentral:rRNA from 1 species
ACGGAAGGCAGCAGUGGGGAAUAUUGGGCAAUGGGCGCAAGCCUGACCCAGCGACGCCGCGUGAAGGAAGAAGGUCUUCGGAUUGUAAACUUCUUUUUUGUGGGACGAAGAAAAUGACGGUACCACAUGAAUAAGCCACGGCUAACUACGUGCCAGCAGCCGCGGUAAUACGUAGGUGGCGAGCGUUAUCCGGAUUUACUGGGUGUAAAGGGUGAGUAGGCGGGAUUGCAAGUCAGAUGUGAAAAUCAUGGGCUCAACUCAUGACCUGCAUUUAAAACUGUAAUUCUUGAGUAUCGGAGAGGCAAGCGGAAUUCCUAGUGUAGCGGUGAAAUGCGUAGAUAUUAGGAGGAACACCAGUGGCGAAGGCGGCUUGCUGGACGACAACUGACGCUGAGGCGCGAAAGCGUGGGGAGCAAACAGGAUUAGAUACCCUGGUA